rnacentral:rRNA from 1 species
UUCGCAAUGCCCGAAAGGGUGACGAAGCGACGCCGCGUGGGUGAGGAAGGCCUUCGGGUUGUAAAGCCCUGUCAGGAGUUAAGAAGUGCAGGCACGCUAAUAUCGUGCCUGUUUGACAAAGGCUCCAAAGGAAGCCACGGCUAACCCUGUGCCAGCAGCCGCGGUAAUACAGAGGUGGCAAGCGUUGUUCGGAAUUAUUGGGCGUAAAGAGCACGUAGGUGGAUUUGUAAGUCAGACGUGAAGGCCUCCUGUUCAACGGGAGAAUUGCAUCUGAAACUGCAAACCUUGAGUAUAGGAGGGGAGAAUGGAACUUCUGGUGGAGCGGUGAAAUGCGUAGAUAUCAGAAGGAACGCCGGCGGCGAAAGCGAUUCUCUGGCCUAUAACUGACACUCAGUGUGCGAAAGCUAGGGGAGCAAACGGGAUUAGAUACCCCGGUAGUCCUAGCCGUAAACGAUGGGCACUAAGUAGAGGGGUUUU